rnacentral:rRNA from 1 species
AUUGAACGCUGGCGGCAGGCCUAACACAUGCAAGUCGAACGAGUGGCGGACGGGUGAGUAAUGUCUGGGAAACUGCCUGAUGGAGGGGGAUAACUACUGGAAACGGUAGCUAAUACCGCAUACCAUCGGAUGUGCCCAGAUGGGAUUAGAUAGUAGGUGGGGUAAAGGCUCACCUAGGCGACGAUCCCUAGCUGGUCUGAGAGGAUGCCCAGCCACACGGGAACUGAGACACGGUCCAGACUCCUACGCGAGGCAGCAGUGGGGAAUAUUGCACAAUGGGCGCAAGCCUGAUUCAGCCAUGCCGCGUGUAUGAAGAAGGCCGUCGGGUUGUAAAGUGCUUGCAGCGGGGAGGCGUUACCCGCAGGAGCAGCACCGGCUAACUCCGUGCCAGCAGCCGCGGUAAUAC